rnacentral:rRNA from 1 species
GACGAACGCUGGCGGCGUGCUUAACACAUGCAAGUCGAACGGAAAGGCCCUGCUUUUGUUGGGUGCUCGAGUGGCGAACGGGUGAGUAACACGUGAGUAACCUGCCCUUGACUUUGGGAUAACUUCAGGAAACUGGGGCUAAUACCGGAUAGGAGCUCCUGCUGCAUGGUGGGGGUUGGAAAGUUUCGGCUGUUGGGGAUGGACUCGCGGCUUAUCAGCUUGUUGGUGGGGUAGUGGCUUACCAAGGCUUUGACGGGUAGCCGGCCUGAGAGGGUGACCGGCCACAUUGGGACUGAGAUACGGCCCAGACUCCUACGGGAGGCAGCAGUGGGGAAUAUUGCACAAUGGGCGGAAGCCUGAUGCAGCAACGCCGCGUGCGGGAUGACGGCCUUCGGGUUGUAAACCGCUUUCGCCUGUGACGAAGCGUGAGUGACGGUAAUGGGUAAAGAAGCACCGGCUAACUACGUG